rnacentral:rRNA from 1 species
GAUGUCGGCUCAUCGCAUCCUGGGGCUGUAGUCGGUCCCAAGGGUUGGGCUGUUCGCCCAUUAAAGCGGUACGCGAGCUGGGUUCAGAACGUCGUGAGACAGUUCGGUCCCUAUCCGUCGUGGGCGCAGGAAAUUUGAGAGGAGCUGUCCUUAGUACGAGAGGACCGGGAUGGACGCACCGCUGGUGUACCAGUUGUCUUGCCAAAGGCAUCGCUGGGUAGCUAUGUGCGGAAGGGAUAAGUGCUGAAAGCAUCUAAGCAUGAAGCCCCCCUCGAGAUGAGAUUUCCCAUAGCGUCAAGCUAGUAAGAUCCCUGAAAGAUGAUCAGGUUGAUAGGUCUGAGGUGGAAGCGUGGUGACACGUGGAGCUGACAGAUACUAAUAGAUCGAGGACUUAACCACAUUUG